rnacentral:misc_RNA from 1 species
GAUGAAGAACGUAGCGAAAUGCGAUAAGUAGUGUGAAUUGCAGAAUUCAGUGAAUCAUCGAAUCUUUGAACGCACAUUGCGCCCCUUGGUAUUCCAUGGGGCAUGCCUGUUCGAGCGUCAUUUGUACCUUCAAGCUCUGCUUGGUGUUGGGUGUUUGUCUCGCCUCUGCGCGUAGACUCGCCUCAAAACAAUUGGCAGCCGGCGUAUUGAUUUCGGAGCGCAGUACAUCUCGCGCUUUGCACUCAUAACGACGACGUCCAAAAGUACAUUUUUACACUCUUGACCUCGGAUCAGGUAGGGAUACCCGCUGAACUUAAGCAUAUCAAUAGCGGAGGA